rnacentral:rRNA from 1 species
CUACGGGGCGCUCCAGUGAGGAAUUUUGCGCAAUGGGCGAAAGCCUGACGCAGCAACGCCGCGUGAGUGAUGAAGGCCUUCGGGUCGUAAAGCUCUGUCAAGUGGGAAGAACCUAUGUAAUGUUAAUAUCAUUAUAUACUGACGGUACCACUGAAGGAAGCACCGGCCAACUCCGUGCCAGCAGCCGCGGUAAUACGGGGGGUGCAAGCGUUAUUCGGAAUCAUUGGGCGUAAAGGGCACGUAGGCGGCCUGGUAAGUCAGAUGGGAAAGCCCGGGGCUUAACCCCGGAAGUGCAUUUGAUACUGUCAGGCUUGAGUAUGGGAGAGGGAAGUGGAAUUCCUGGUGUAGAGGUGAAAUUCGUAGAUAUCAGGAGGAACACCGGUGGCGAAGGCGACUUCCUGGACCAAUACUGACGCUGAGGUGCGAAGGCGUGGGUAGCAAACAGGAUUAGAUACCCCAGUAGUC